rnacentral:rRNA from 1 species
AUCUGUCACCAGGCUUCCUUGAACAUACCCACUCUCAUCCGAUUUGGGAAGCUAAGCAGGGUCAGUCCCGGUUAAUACCUGGAUGGGAGACU